CUAACGUUGACCCGUAAUCCGGGUUGCGGACAGUGUCUGGUGGGUAGUUUGACUGGGGCGGUCUCCUCCUAAAGAGUAACGGAGGAGCACGAAGGUUGGCUAAUCCUGGUCGGACAUCAGGAGGUUAGUGCAAUGGCAUAAGCCAGCUUGACUGCGAGCGUGACGGCGCGAGCAGGUGCGAAAGCAGGUCAUAGUGAUCCGGUGGUUCUGAAUGGAAGGGCCAUCGCUCAACGGAUAAAAGGUACUCCGGGGAUAACAGGCUGAUACCGCCCAAGAGUUCAUAUCGACGGCGGUGUUUGGCACCUCGAUGUCGGCUCAUCACAUCCUGGGGCUGAAGUAGGUCCCAAGGGUAUGGCUGUUCGCCAUUUAAAGUGGUACGCGAGCUGGGUUUAGAACGUCGUGAGACAGUUCGGUCCCUAUCUGCCGUGGGCGCUGGAGAACUGAGGGGGGCUGCUCCUAGUACGAGAGGACCGGAGUGGACGCAUCACUGGUGUUCGGGUUGUCAUGCCAAUGGCACUGCCCGGUAGCUAAAUGCGGAAGAGAUAAGUGCUGAAAGCAUCUAAGCACGAAACUUGCCCCGAGAUGAGUUCUCCCUGACUCCUUGAGAGUCCUGAAGGAACGUUGAAGACGACGACGUUGAUAGGCCGGGUGUGUAAGCGCAGCGAUGCGUUGAGCUAACCGGUACUAAUGAACCGUGAGG
rnacentral:rRNA from 1 species